rnacentral:SRP_RNA from 1 species
GCCGGGUGCGGUGGCGCGCGCCUGUAAUCCAAGUUACCGGGAGGCUGGAGGAUCGUUUGAGCUCGAGCUCAGGAGCUCUGAGCUGCAGCGGACUAUGUCGAUCGGGUGUCCGCACUAAGUUCGGUAUCGAUAUGGUGCUCCUGGGGGAGCCCGGGACCACCAGGUCGUCUAAGGAGGGGUGCACCGGCCCAGGUCGGACACGGAGCAGGUCAAAGCCCCCGUGCCGCUCAGUAGUGGGAUCGCGCCUGUGAAUAGACGCUGUAGUGCAGCCUGAGUAACACAGCGGGACCCAGUCUUUUU